rnacentral:rRNA from 1 species
UACGUAGGGGGCAAGCGUUGUCCGGAUUUAUUGGGCGUAAAGAGCGUGUAGGCGGCCAAGCAGGUCCGCUGUGAAAACUCGAGGCUCAACCUCGAGACGUCGGUGGAAACCGUUUGGCUAGAGUCCGGAAGAGGAGAGUGGAAUUCCCGGUGUAGCGGUGAAAUGCGUAGAGAUCGGGAAGAACACCAGUGGCGAAGGCGGCCGGCUGGGGGUGUCCUGACGCUGAGGAGCGAAAGCUAGGGGAGCAAACGGG